rnacentral:rRNA from 1 species
CAGUAGCCGCGGGAAAACGGAGGGUGCAAGCGUUAAUCGGAAUUACUGGGCGUAAAGCGCACGCAGGCGGUCUGACAAGUCAGAUGUGAAAUCCCCGGGCUUAACCUGGGAACUGCAUUUGAAACUGUCAGGCUGGAGUCUUGUAGAGGGGGGUAGAAUUCCAGGUGUAGCGGUGAAAUGCGUAGAGAUCUGGAGGAAUACCGGUGGCGAAGGCGGCCCCCUGGACAAAGACUGACGCUCAGGUGCGAAAGCGUGGGGAGCAAACAGGAUUAGAUACCCCUGUAGUCCCUGUCUCUUAUAU